rnacentral:tRNA from 1 species
ACCUGGGUGGCUCAGUCGGUUGAGCAUCUGACUUUGGUUCAGGUCAUGACCUCACAGUUUGUGGGUUCGAGCCCCACAUCGGGCU